rnacentral:tRNA from 1 species
GCCCGAGUGGUGAAAUUGGUAGACACACAGGACUUAAAAUCCUGCGUCCCCUAAAGACGUGACGGUUCGAGUCCGUCCUCGGGCACCA